GCCGCUGCGAGGGGCGAGGCGUCUCCCGCGAAACACGCGUGGAAAGCGGGCGAGCGCUGGAAAGGGACCGGCUACCGGAGGGGUUUUGGGUCCUGAAGAGAUAACCGUCUAUCAUUCUUGGCAGAAGAAACCACCAUCGUGAAACUAAGAACUUAGAAUGAGAGAUAUAUUCCAUUUUCUUUGUCAGAACACAUGAAACCCCUUUCAGCUACCAAAGAACUGGGCUUAAAAAAGCUUCAGAUUGGACAAGACACCUCUGCUUAAUGGUAUCUCCCAGUGACAAGAGGCAAAGGAUUAACCCAAAACGUUAUGACUCCCUACCCCAGCAUCUUUCUUCCUAGCCAUGAUUCUACCCAAAGUCUCACUUAUAUGCUUUUUCCAAAUAAUGGAAACACUCUGGUUCCUUGACGGAAUAUCAGCAAGACGGUGGCAGAGAAAUUUUGAGACCAUCUGGGAUGUGUGAACCGGAAUUCUUCCUGAUCAAUUCCAGGUCAAUCAGCAUUAGGUUUAUUAUGGUCGUAUUGAGGGGAAGAAGAACGGAAGAAGAAAUUAUUGAAUAGCUGUGACUGUACCUCAUGUUUCUCACGUUAUGUCAUGAUUUGCCGGGCACACUGGUGCUCUUUUCCCCUCGAAAUGUUAAUUGGCAUCACUCCUGCCACCUGUCCAUCAGCUUUUUCAAACAAGAAAAGGCAAACUUCAGCGAUCAGAGCAGCCUACCUUUCUCCCAGAGAAGCCUAUUCUGACAGUCAGGUCUGAGGCUUCCUUCCUGACCAACCCUGGACAAUAUUUCUAUUUGGUCAUUUUAAGUGUGAAAUACUCAGCAUUUACUGAGCCUAACAUCUGAGAAAAUCCGAGUCUUAAAUGGAUCUGUUUUCGGGCCUAGAUAUGAAUCUAGGGAGUAUAAAAGCAAUCGAUGGCUCACCCAUGGAUCAGAGAUUUAUUUUAUGACUCCUAACUUUUCCCAGUUGUUGUAUCUGUUAUUGCACACUAUUUCAUGUGAUGAAGCCCAUGACAAGUAUGAAAAGUGGAAUCCUGGUGCUCAAGGAUGGAAAACACAAAUAAGAUUUCCCAGAGUGACUAGAGACCAUGGUGGAUUGGUUUGGGAAAAGAACCCAAUAGAAGACUUGCUUAUAAACACUGAUGUUGUUUCAUUUAUUUUUAGGCAAAGGGAACAAGUUCCCUUCCUCCUGAUCAUGCCCAGAUGUAAAAUGCACCUAUGUAGAGGAAAAUAAUGUUGGCCAGUCAAGGGGAAGGGAAUCCAUUUGACUCGCCAAUAUCUUCUUCCCACCACCACACUGGGGCAUCCCAUUCUCUAAGGAAGGGACCUAUUCACCAAGAUACCCCUAUCUCUGGUCUAGUUGACCAUCUGUUUACCUUCAGCCAUUUUAGACUUUGGUCCUGAUGAAGGCUUGUGUGGAUGUGUGAAAGUAUGAGUGAAUAUAUUGGUGAUAAGUUUGGUUUAAAAGUCAGAGUGGUUGGCAAUCCUAGCCCUGCCACUAGCCUGCUGUGUGACCUUGGGCA